CUUGGUGCUUCCUUCUUGAAUCUUGCUUGGAUUUGACUGAAUUUAUUUGUUUGGUGGCUACAGGACAGUUCUCCAGUUGGCUUAAUCCUUGGACUGAAACAAGAGAUUCUCUCCUUUUUCUUGCUAGUAGUUUUCAAGAGCAACUUGGCUGUACUGGGAAUACAACAUCCUGAGACUGGGGAGGGACUAGUCAGAAUAGCCCGGGGCUGAUUUUCUCUCUCUUGGAAGCAGUAUGCCCUUAAGUGCAUUCACCCAGCAUGUCUUGUUUCUCCUGAGGUCAAAUAGUUCCAGAAAUCCUUGUGAACAUUACAACAUAGGUCCAAGUCUUUUGAACUUUUUAAGUCUGAUUCUUCCUAUCUACAAUAUGGGAAUAAUACUCAUUGGAGAUUAUGAAAUUUAAGUGAGAUUAUCUACAUCUGUGGCUUUCAAAAGUAUAAAAUACUAUGCAAUUAUGCUGGCAUGUUGUUGCUAUUAUUACAUGUAGAUGCUUAAAUCACUAAAAAGACUGAUCAGAAUUGAGAAUAUUAGCAUGUGUCCAACUGUACAAUUUGCAAAUUCAAGACUCAAUGAAAGUAGUAGAUUGGACUGUCAAAAUGCCAUGCUUGUGAAUAAUUGAGCAAAUCAGCUUGGUGCAGUCUUACUCUUCACAUAAUUUAGGACUAAGGAGCACUGAGGGCCACUGGCCAAGCAGUUGUAUGCUGAUGCCAAUUCAUGCUGGUGCCAGUCUUUACUGACUCUUGAUAGCUGACUGUGCCCAUCUCUUUCCAACUCCAAACUCAGUGACCUCACACUGGUAGCUUAAAAUUGGCAAGAAUCAGAGUACUUCACCAAGGAAAUCGAGGCACUACAAAUUAGGACUUGUUUUGUUUUGAGACACAGCUGUCAAACAUUUACCAGCAUGCCACUGGACACAGCCAUCGCUAUGCCCAUUAAGAGCAUAUCAUACUUAAUAAAAUUCCACUGGAUGUAUUUAUACACAGUAAGAAUGUUUGAAAAAAGUAACCUUUUCUCUGAUGUUGAAAGGAUGUGUUAUUUCUGACAAGGUAAAUUCUUUUUACAUUAUAUUAUGAAAUAGAGAAUACAGCCAAACAGAGCAGUGAUAGCCAGUAGUAGAAAGAUUUCUUGCUUUCAAACUAAGAUUUUUGAGACAGCUAAUUGUCAGGUGAAAGCAUUAAGGAGUGACUAUUAACAACAGUAGCUGGUGUUUGCUACUCACAUUUUAUUUAUUUGACAGUCUUUUUUGUUUUUUGUAUCUAGCAAUUUCUUUAGAUUCGGAAGAAUAGUCUGCCUGUUGACUCAAUGAAAGUGCAAUUUGUUUCUAAUUCAUCAGGGCUUCUGAAUUUUUGUUCGAAUUUAUAAUGAGAAUAUGGUACCUUUGAAAGAAAUAUAGAAGCUGAAUUUAUAUAUGCAUUUUUAUUAUAUUCCAGUGUACUGUCACCAUACGACUUCAUUUCAUGAUUAACAAACUUCUUAAGAACACCAAGAGCACUUAAUAGAGGUUCUUUCACAAUUUAUGCAACUUAAUUUGAGAUUAUUUUAAAACAGUUAUGUCUACUUAAUAAUGGCAAAAUAGUAUCACUUUAAUAGGAAUGAACACAAGACUUUCCUUUGUGUUAAGUUACUCCUUAGUCUUAAGUCGGACACCUUAGAAAUACAGGUUCCAGGGCCAUAAAUGGCAAUUUAGUAACCAAAGUGGUUGUUAGGUACAUUAGAUAUUUAAUGGAGUGGAUUUAAAAUUAACAUUCACUCAGAAACUAUAUGUACUGAUUGACUGUUACAUGCAGAGUUCUACAUGGAUGCCCUCUAUUUGGGAGUCCACAGUAUAUGCUUUGCAAAUAUUUGAAGGAAGGAAGGAAGAAAGGGUCCUGAAGAAUAUGCAAAAAUGUAACACUCAAAGAGUUUGCUCUAAAAAGCAUGAAAGUCUAAAGAAUUGUAGUCAAGGUUCUUCAGAGAAAUAGGAUAGGGUGUGUAUAUGUGUACGUAUUCAUAUACCCAGAUUUAUUUUGGGAAUUGGCUCAUGUAAUUGUAGAGGCUCACUAGUGUAACAUCUGCAACGUAGGCUGGAGACCCAGGAAAAAGUUGCAAAAGCAGUCUGCUGGCAGAAUUUCACUUCCUUCUGGUGAAUUCAGUCUUUUAACCAUUAAUACCUUUAAGUGAUUAGAUGAGGCCCAUUCACAUUACGGAGGAAAAUCUGCUUUACUCUGUCUGCUGAUUUAAAUGUUAAUCUCACAUAAAAAUACCUUCAUGGGGCCAGGUGAGGUAGCUCGCGCCUGUCAUCCCAGCACUUUGGGAGGCCGAGGCGAGCGGAUCACGAGGUCAGGAGCUCGAAACCGUCCUGGCUAACACAGUGAAAACCUAUCUCUACUAAAAAU